AUCAAAACUUAACGAUUUUCAGAUAAAAACGAGUCGUCGAGGCUUCAUAAGUUACACACCAUAAUAACGGAAGAGUAUGACAAACGAAAACAUAAUAGAACAAAUUGAAAUCAAAUCGAAGACUAUAUAGUGUGGGUAGUGAGAAAAAUCAAAAGAACGAAAGGGUAUAAAAUAUGCAGAAUAAAUAUAAACUAAGAGUAAAAGUAGAAGAAAACUGUCGAGAUUAAACGAUGGUGUACAGCAAAUUGGUGCAAAUGUUUGUAUGUACAUAUGUAUAAAGCGUACAUUUUUAUAUACAUAUUUAUGUAUGUAUAUAGUACAAAUAUAUGGCUGUACAAGGCAUAUAGCGCGUAGUACAUAGAGAUAACCUGAGUGCUAAGAACAGAUGGAGUAGGCAAAGGGGGCUCUUGCAGGCACAGCAGCAGUACUUGAAAAUAUGCGCGCAUGUAUUUAUGAGGCCAACCAACCGACUGUCAGGCAAAUGAAAAGGCGUUGUGCGAAGGCAGGAGGGGGACGACAAACCACAUCGUUGGCAGGACGGGAGCGGUGGGCGAAGCAAAACAAAAAAAGCCAAGCAACAACAGUAACAACUAGCGGAGGCAGCGAGAGUGGGGAAACGUAAGGCGUGGAGCAGGGCAAAAGUGGGAGCAAGUGAAUUGCGGAACUGGUGAGUAGUAGAGUGGAGCAAAGCAAAAAAAAAUCAACACACAAAAAAAAUGUAUAAAAUAAAAUGGAAAUAGAAUGGCAAAAAAUCACAUUGGAAGGCAAGGUGGUAGCCGGGUAUGCGGUGGAUGCUUGAUGGCAGUUAAAAGCGUUGGAGCGGUAGAGCAGCAGUUGAGCGCUAAAACAAACACACAUACAUACUUGCAUAGCUUGUAGACGCGUUAAUAAAAUAUAUACGAGAGGAAGGAGUAUAUUGUAUGUAUGUACAGUAUGUAUGUGUAUUUCUAUAUACAUAUGUAUGCUUGUAUAUAUUUAUGUCGAUUUGUAGUAGGCAUGAACGCAAAAAUUGUGUGAUGCGACCGAAAGCGAGCAAAAAUGAAAUAAAGUAACAGGAAAAAAUCAUAUCACAAACAGCAAUCAACCAACCGAACAGUCAGUGGACAGUCUUAAAACAAAAUCAAGUACGGAAAAAAUAAUAAAAAUUCAUACGAGUGCCAAUCGCUGGCAAAUGUAUCCACUUGCAUGCAUACUACAUGCAUACAUACCUACACACAUACCAACGAGUAAAAAUGUAUCGCUUUGCACCGAAUGGGGCGAGUAUGCAGCCGAGAGGGUGUGCAAGGAGAGGCAAAAAAAAAAAAAAACGAAACGAAACGAAACAAAAAGACAUCUGCAAACAGCACUUGGCACUCAGUGCAAAACAUUAAAUUGCAUGGGAGUAGAGCAGAGAGCAGUGCAGCGGGCUACCGAUAUUAGAGUCGCUCGGCAAUUUGGUGGUCCGAGAGUAUAAGAAUGAGAGCGCAUACAUAUGCUGUGCAGAGGAAGCAUUUGCGAAAAGUACAAAAAAAAAGUAUUAGCAACAACAACAACAAUAAUAAGCGCAAAUAGUGUUCAACGGGCGUUGCUAUUUCAAGAGGUUGCAGAGGGCUAAGUGGUCGCGGGUUGUAUGAGGCGGUGUAUUUUAAUUGUGUUGUACUCAUAUUUACAUAUAUACAUACAUAUGUACAUGCCUAAGAUGCGAUUGUGUGUAUACAUGAAUUCGAAAACUUUGCCACGGUACAUGGAAAGUAUUUAAAAAAAGCCACAUUUUCUUAAAGCGUUUCAAAUGUUUAAUUAGGUAUGUACAUAUGUAUAUAUGUAUGUAUGUUUGUUGAUAUCUUUGCUUUAGUUUUUUUAUGUUUUUUUAUUUUUAACGUUUCUCUUCGAGUAGUUGGAGAAAAUGAGACAAAAGUUGCUUAGCCAGGAUUGCAUUUUAAUAUGCACGAGUAAAUAUGUAAAUACAUACAUACAUACGUACUUACAUAUAUGCACUUCUACAUACUUAUGUACAUAUGUACAUUAUUUUCAAAUUCAAUUUAUUUAUUGCAGCUUAUUUAGUUUUUCACACUAAGGUGCGAAGAUUUAUCGGCUAAGGCGAUUUAACUUAAUAAUUAUACCGACUAUAUUCUUCAAUUAUGUUUUUUUGUAUACAUAUGCAUAGAAUAAUAUGUAGAAAUAUGGCCCUAAAAGCAUUUCUCGCGUUAUUAAACGUUUUAAAAAAGAUGUGCGUAUUGACUGGCAGAAAGGUUCUGGUAAAAAGGGGCCACAUGAUCGUGAGAAGGCGAAGAACGUUGUGACCAUUCUCAAGAAAGACCCAAAGAAAUUUCUUGUGUGGCAGGCCGUUACGUCGGGCACAAUCAACAGCGAGAUAUAUGAGAAGAAAGGUUUACAAAAGAACUUGCUUCCAUUCCUAAGCCAACAUGAAAUGUCCACGUUUUUUUGGCCUGACCUCGCUUCAUGUCACUUUAGCAAAACAGCCUUAGAGUGGUUCCAACGGAAUAAGGGAUUUUAGUACCUAGAGAAGCGAAUCCAACUAACUAUCCAGAAUUAUGGCCGAUUGAGAGAUAUACUGUGUUUUAGUAAAAAAGGAGAUGAAGGCAACAAAAAAAAGUGACUAAAGACCUUCAAGAUUAAAAAAAAAAUUGGUUU